ensembl:lncRNA
AUGAUGCCUUGGCCAUGGGCUCACAAGAGACACAUUCCAUAUAUGGCCCACCCCUACCAGCUAUGGCAGACCCAGGCCACUGCAAGCUCCACAGGAAUCCAGGCCUGGGAGACGUGGCGUCGUGCAAGGGGGCCCUGGGGCGUGGCCACCAUGGCUCGUGUGCAAGCAACUGUGCAGACCGUCCAGCAUUUCCUCUUGGCUGAAGGUGCAGAUGCUGUGAGCAUAGAGCUGGUGGCAUGGCGUGGGCUGGUGGUGCCUGUCCCCCAAGAUGGGGCAGCGGGCCUUGCCUUCCUGCUGGAUCAGAUCCAGGGUGCCCUCCCUGCACCAGAUGCCGAGGGUCAGGAGCUGCCCAAAGCUGAAGGUGUCCUCCAUUGGGCACAGCAGACCAGGUGAAGGGCCAGGAGGCUGGUGGUAGAGGUCAGAGGGUGGGGAGGAAGGGAAUGCCAGACUGAUUGCCUGCAUCCUUCAGGGUGGGUACAGCCAGGGCUCUGCACCAAGCACUGGAUUUGGAGGGAGUGCUGGCUGAGGCGGGAACUCAUGCAAGGGCUGCAGAACAAGGGCUGCAGGUGGUGAAACAGAGACUUCACGGUCUGGAGGCCAGUGUACAGGAGGUGAUCCGCGCCCCGCCCCCAUGCCCUUCAGUCCCUCACGCCUCUUGUUCAGAGGCUGCUAUCUCUAUUCUUCCCCUGAGAUCCUUGACCUAUUCUGACAACACAGUGCUAAAUACCCUGCCGUGCUGUGAGCUCUUUGUGAUCCCCUGAUCUCCACCCCAGGUGGCCAGCCACCUGGCCCAGGUUGCACUGGCAGGGGAUGUGACCCCAGUACUGGGACAUCUGUCCAGUGGACCUGUGGCUCUCAGGACCCGUUUGGCCCUGACUCAGCGGCAGGCCCGGGAGGCAGAAGAGCAAGCCACGCAUGCCCUGGGCAUGGCCAGGAGCCUGGGCCAGGUGAGAUGGGAAAAGCGGACUUCAGGGUCCCAGGGACCCCUGUGGAGUAGCAUGAAUUGGAGUUUAGGUGGGUCUGGGCUACACUGGGCUGAGGCAGGGUCUCAGUUCUAAAGCCCUGCUUCCUCCCGGGAACUUGAGGAGGCAGUGCUUUUGGGAUGGUAGGGUCCAGGUGGGUGGGCUUUCAGAGCCAGCCCUGCCCUAGGAGCUGCAGGUGGCCCAGCUGGGUGUGAUGGAGUUGCAGGAGGGCACGGACAGCCUUGUGGCCGCGGUGCAGGAUGCAGGAGAGCGGGCACACCGGGCGCGCGCUGAGGCCCGAGAGCUGCUAACACUGGUACAGAACAGCUGGAGAAGACUGGAGGGUAUGUGGCUGGGCCAGGAUGGGUGGGUACAGGGGGUGGUCAGGGUCAGAGUUAGAGGGAUGGUGUGGGAGGGUCAGGGCUGGAUCCAGGUUGGGUCCAUAUUCAUAUGAGGAUCAGGCUGGGGUCAAAGUCCAGAACAGAGGGGUCAAAUGUUGAUUAGUGUUAGAGCUUAUUUAGGGCUGGGAUCAGAGUCAGGGUCUUGAUGGAGAUGACGACCAGGGUCAGAGAUUAGGGCCAGAGGUCAGAGCCUGGCUCAGAUGACCUUAAUCCCCAGGGUUGGAACGCCGCCUGGCUCAGAAUGAGGAGGCACUGGGCAAGAAAGUGGCCACGCUGUGGGCUCUCGAGCAGCGGGCAGCAGAGCUACUGGGCCACAUGCGGCUGUGGGCCAGGGCAUACGGCACCUGCUGACUUCGGUCUGACUCCAAGUGACCCCACAGUGACCCAGGAAUCCCCUGACCUUGAGAGCCCAGAGACACCAGAGUGCCUGCUGACCCUGAGUGAUCCAUGUGACAGCCUGUCAUUUAGUGGUGCGCUGAUCUUGACAAAUAGGAGGGGUCACGGACAACUCCCUGAGGCCAUCUAGUGCUCCCCGAGAUCCUGAUAGAGCCUUAUCUCUCAGUGAUCCAUAAUUCUGAGCGCCCUCUAGUAUCCCUGAGCCCCUUAGAUUGACCACGUGACCCCCCUGGUGUCUGGUGACCCCACUCCAGAUAACUGGUGAACCUUGAUGUUUCCCCUAAAGAACCCCAGCUUUUUUCCCUGGGCCUGCCACUCCAGGGUACUCUCCACCUGACUCAAGACAGUAGGCGCAGAUGUAGCAAGCUCAAAGUUGUCCCGACAGGGCCCUAUGGACCCCGGAGUCUGGUCCCCGCCGAGGUCCCAGGGGCCUGGGUGGGGCACACGCUCCCGCAGCCCGCAUUCCAAGCCCGGAUCUGGGCGCUCCCGGCGGGCCGAAACGUCCGGAGUGGAUGAAUAGCCGGAAGAUCUGGAUUCACUCGCUACCGCUGUGGUCUGUUGUCGGUGCCCAGCUCCCUUUUUCAUACCAGGAAACAGUUCUUCUCAUGCCUACUUGUUGUAGCGACUGGGGGAGGCAGAGAGCCUGGACAGGGGAUGGCCUUUCUCCACCUCUCCCAAACCCUCAUGUUGUCCUGUCCUUCCGGUCAUGCUGUCCUAAAGCUUCUCACAGUCCCGGAAGAGGGGGCUUGGCACCCUGAGUGCGCCUUUCCACCGCCCCCCUGAUGCUGGAGCCCUGGGACUGAAAAGCCUAAGUGAUGGAGACGCGCAUAGCACCGACGACACUGGGGACACAGUCUCCAUGGCCUCUUGAGGUCUCCAAGAUGACACUCCUCUCCUUGGCUUAUGCCACAACCCCUACUUGGUUUGUCCCUGAACUACAGUGGCCUAGGACCCCAAACCCCAGUGUUCCCCUGGCUUUGUGCAGACCUGGGCCUGGGGGCACAAUAAAGGUUUCCAGGUGAGCCGGUCUGUGUCUAGU